rnacentral:rRNA from 1 species
GAUGAACGCUGGCGGCGUGCCUAAUACAUGCAAGUCGAGCGAACAGACGAGGAGCUUGCUCCUCUGACGUUAGCGGCGGACGGGUGAGUAACACGUGGAUAACCUACCUAUAAGACUGGGAUAACUUCGGGAAACCGGAGCUAAUACCGGAUAAUAUAUUGAACCGCAUGGUUCAAUAGUGAAAGACGGUUUUGCUGUCACUUAUAGAUGGAUCCGCGCCGCAUUAGCUAGUUGGUAAGGUAACGGCUUACCAAGGCAACGAUGCGUAGCCGACCUGAGAGGGUGAUCGGCCACACUGGACUGAGACACGGCCCAAACUCCUACGGGAGGCAGCAGUAGGGAAUCUUCGGCAAUGGACGAAAGUCUGACCGAGCAACGCCGCGUGAGUGAAGAAGGUUUUCGGAUCGUAAAACUCUGUUGGUAGAGAAGAACGUUGGUGAGAGUGGAAAGCUCAUCAAGUGACGGUAACUACCCAGAAAGGGACGGCUAACUACGUG